CAGCAGCCACGGUAAUACGAAGGGGGCUAGCGUUGUUCGGAAUUACUGGGCGUAAAGGGCGCGUAGGCGGCCAUUCAAGUUAGAUGUGAAAGCCCUGGGCUCAACCUAGGAAUUGCAUUUGAUACUGUUUGGCUUGAGUUCGGGAGAGGUGAGUGGAAUUCCCAGUGUAGAGGUGAAAUUCGUAGAUAUUGGGAAGAACACCAGUGGCGAAGGCGGCUCACUGGACCGACACUGACGCUGAGGCGCGAAAGCGUGGGGAGCAAACAAGAUUAGAGACCCCGGUAGUCCCUGUCUCUUAUAC
rnacentral:rRNA from 1 species